UAUUAGAGUUAACUAAUACUUCAGUGGUUC
rnacentral:piRNA from 1 species